rnacentral:lncRNA from 1 species
GUUAAAGAAAUGUGAGUUCUUCAUGUUUUUCACUCUUUCUCCUGCACAGAAAUCAGGAAUGCAUGGGAUGGAAUGAGAGGAGCUGCAGGUGGUACCAGCCCAGAUUGCUGAGUCACUACAUCAAAGGAGGAACCUGGGCAUUGCUCAACUUGAGUUAGUGUAUGUGGUAAACCUUUGUUACUGCAGCAUGACCUAAUCUGUCCUAAUUCACUCUCAUUUUCUACCAGCUAAAAGCUUCAUCUUUUAAGUCCCAGCUUAAAUGCUAACUCUUUCUUAAAAGCCUUCAGAACCAACCCAUCCCGAGUCAGAAUUAACGGCUCUCCCUUUGUGCUUUCAUAGCAUGUGUAAGUCAUGUCUGUUUGAUGCUUAAUGCAUAUUAUCAUGAUUGGUUAUGUACAUGCAGGGUUAGUGACACAGAAUGAUUAAGAGUGUGAAUUCCAGAGCCAGACUGACUGGGUUCAUAUCUCAGCUCUGUCACUUAGCAUUGGGACCUUCAAUGAGUUACUUAAUCUUCCAGGACCUUGGUACAUGUUUGUCCCCUCAGUACCCACUAGAGUACCUGAUAUGAUAAUUGUUACAUAGUACCUGUUUGCCAGUCUCUGUUUUGUCUCGCAGACAGAAGCACCAGUAAAAGACACGCAGAACCAGAAAUGGGAAUCAAAAUGCAAAGCCAGGAAAUCAGAGGCCUUCUACAACCUACCAGGUGGAGUAGCUCAUGGUCCAGGUGAGGUCUGCAAUAGGCUAUAGUUUUCUCCUACAAAUUAAUUCCUUCUGCUGGGACAGAACUCUAAAAGGGAGGAAGAUAUUAGAUCUACCGCUUCAAACCACUUUCCCUGAAGUCAUUGUUUUUAUGUAUGUAUCCAGAUGAUUUUAUGAUUUUGUUUUUUUCCACUAUUGUGAUAAAUUACUUUGAUUGAUUUUUAGAAUAUUAAAUCACCCUUGCAUUCCUGGAAUAAACUCUAUAGAUGGAAGCUUGGUUUUAUUUGCUAGAUUUUGCAUCUAUACUCACUAACAAAAAAAAUUUUUUUUCUCUUCUCCUGACACCACCCACCAGUUUUUGGAUCCUACAACACCAACUAGGCAUCCUAUAUUUCCAUCCAAUUUUGACACUAACUCCCCAGACUCAGCAUCAGUUCCAACAGAUUGAAGGGCUCAGUCCCACAAGACUGCCACCACUUCAGAUGCCAGUCACAAGUCCUGGACCACUUGUACUUCUGAGCAACGGGCGAUAAAUCAGGGAGUCCCAUGACUUCUUUUCAGGUUCGAUCAUUUGCUGGAACAACUCACAGGACUCAGGAAAGUGCUUUUCUUAAUGUUACUGGUUUAUCAUAAGAAUACAACUCAGAAAUAGCUGAAUUGAAGAGAUACAGAGGGCAAAGUAUGGGGGAAGGGGCACAGAGCUUCUGUGCCCUCUCUGGGUCCAUCGCCCUCCCAGCACCUUGAUAUGUUCACUAACCUGGAAACUUCCUGAGCCCCUUUAUUUAGGGGCUUUUAUGGAGGUGCCAUUACACAGCCAUGAAUAAUUAAAUCACAGCCAGUGGCGACUCACUCAGCCUCCAACCCUUCACCUUUCUCUCCUCCCUGGAGGUCGUGGAGGAGCCUGAAAACUCCAACUGUCUAAGCACGCCUAGGUUGUUCUGGUGACCCCCAUGUCCCAUCCUGAUGCUACCCAGAGGCCUCUCAUUAGCGUACAGAAGACACUCUUGUCUGUGAAGAUUCCAAGAGCUUGGGGAGUUCUUAGAACCAAGAGGAACUAAGGACAAAGACCAACUAUUUUUUUUUUGUUAUACCACAAUGAUUGAGACUGGUCUAUGAUUUUUUCCUUUGUGCAGUAUCCUAGUCCAGUUUCUUUCUUCUUUUUUUCCUAUAGAGGUUAUAUUGGCCAUAUAAAAAGAGUUGGGAAGGGUACAUGGAUUUUUCUGUUUUCUGGAAGAGUUUGUGCAAGAUUGUUAUUCUUUAAAUAUUUGAAAGAAUUAAUUGAUAAAGCCAUCAAGUUGUCAAAUAAUAGAUUCAAUUUAUUUAUUGCAUAUUGGAUAUUCUGAUUUUCUUUUCUUUUUCUAGUACAUUUUGGAAAGCUGCAUUUCUCAAUGAAUUUGUCCAUUUCAUUCAAACUGCCAAAACAAACAAACAAUAAAGUUUUUAUUUUUUGA